AUUGCAGUUUCCCCAGGCAGUUUUCAAAGUACCUUCCCCAGUGCUCUUCAUCGCGUUCCCCUUGGGCCGAGGGAGAGAAAUGCCGUCAGAUGAGGCGUAGCACAGAAGCUACAGACUUGUUUUGAGUCCCCCAAGCAAGCGUUACAGCUUCCAGACUGCCUCACAGGAUCUCCGCCUUGGGAGGCCUGCCAAGAAUUCGGGCAUCUGAAGAUUCCCAAAGAGAUCCCAACAUUCGUCCUACGACAGCUGCCUCUGUGAUUUUGGGAGAGAGACGAUAAAAACGAACAAAAAAUCCAAGGGAAAGGAAGAAAGGAAAGG